rnacentral:lncRNA from 1 species
AGCAGCAGCAAGAGGAUGAAGGAGGAUGAAGGGGUGGUAGUAGUCAUGCAUGGCCACUCGCUACUCGUGUCAUGCACCUACCUGUCUGUCUGUCUGUCUUACCUACCCACGUAGAGUACCUUUGUACCCCUCAUCUCUCUCCGUGGCGGGCUAGCCAGCAGGCUAUCUAGCAGGGUCAUAGCAUCACGUGACAGACAGACAGACUGUUAAAACCAAAACCAACAAAGCGCCGGACCCCAGCCGGGUCCUAUUACUGUGGUUACCAUUCACUGGUAUAUGAGUGUCGGACAUUUCCAACACAGACUGCUAAUAAGGCGUAAAAACAAACCAAUACUGUCAUUUGAAGGUGCACGUGUUGGUUCACUUGAGCAUAGAAGCGCGUGCAUGCAGUAGACAAAACUAACAAACUACCUAUAGGUUAGCUAGGUAUCUUGCACUAAUGCUACUAUGCAUGGUAUGCACACAGCUGGGGUAUUACAAGUCCAUGUAUGGAUUUACAUAGCUAGCAGGUGCAAGAUAAGGCUUCGAUGAAAUAAGCUCGCUUUCCUGCUCGCUGUCGGAUCACGCACACGUGCCCAACCAUGGCUACAUAUAUACAGCAUGGAUGGCUGCAUGCAUGCUGGCCGUCACCUCACGCAUCCAUCUUGUGUAUGAUGCAGCUGCCGGUACUCCUCAAGUGGGUCCCCCUGCGCGUCCGUGAUGGACCUCAGCGGCCAGCAGAUAGAUCUUGCUCUCAUUCCGAUGAGAAUGUGAAUAUGCAUGUAUAUUAU